UACGUAGGGUGCAAGCGUUGUCCGGAAUUAUUGGGCGUAAAGAGCUCGUAGGCGGUUUGUUGCGUCGGCUGUGAAAUCCCGAGGCUCAACCUCGGGUCUGCAGUCGAUACGAGCAAACUAGAGUGUUGCAGGGGAGACUGGAAUUCCUGGUGUAGCGGUGAAAUGCGCAGAUAUCAGGAGGGACACCGGUGGCGAAGGCGGUUCUCUGGGAAUAUUCUGACGCUGAGGAGCGAAAGUGUGGGGAGCGAACAGG
rnacentral:rRNA from 1 species